UUGCACUGUUCGUAACCUGCCUCAGUACCUAGUCUGAAGUUUGGGUUCCAUUCCAGUGCCAGAGUAAACCCCGGUGAGGCAGGGGAGCGGUACCUGUUUGUGCUGUCUCCCUGUUCACUCAUUGGGAACAGAC
ensembl:snoRNA